rnacentral:rRNA from 1 species
GCACUUUAAUAGAUAUAUUCAAAUAUUAAUUAAAAUUUAUAAUUUACUUACAAGUCCAUCUUUAUGAAGUAGGUAAGUACUAAUAUCUUUCCGAAAAAUACAUUUAUUGUAACUCGCUUAAAUCUCUAUUAUUUGCUGCACCUUGAUCUGUCAUAAUAAUUUUAAUUAUAGUUACUUUUAGUUAAAUAUUUUUUAAAAAUAUUUUAGACGACGGCAUACAAACUAUUAUAAAUAAAGUGAAUAUUCCUUGGUGGUUAUCAUUUACUCAGUAAGUUCCCCUGUAGUUUAUUAAAGCCGCCAUAAUUUUUGAGUUUGACCUUAUUUUAGCUUACUGCUCAAAUCUAAUUUAAUAAUAAAGGGGAAUAGUAGGGUAUCUAAUCCUAGUUUUAUUUAUCCAUUUUUGUGUAAUAAUUAAGAUGAAAAAAUUUGCAAAUUAUAUUUUACUAUAAAGCUGCAUUAUAUAUAUUACUUAUUUUGAUUAGUUAGAUACAAUUAUCCAUUAGAUUAAUGGUUUGACCGCGGUUGCUGGCACCAUAUUUACCUCAAAGAUUUACCUAAACUAAGCUUAUAUUUUUAUAGUUAUAUUAAUAUCUACAACUGGAAAAUUUUACGAUUAUUCCCAUGAAUUGUUUUAGGUUUAAAUAAUUUCUCUCUAUCAAAUUAAAGUAGUAAAUUGGAUCUAAAAAGGAAGAUUAUCCUUUUUCGG